UAUAAAGAAAAGAAGUUUAUUUGGCUCAUCAUUCUGCAGGCCAUAUAACAAGCAUGGCACCAGCAUCUGCUCCUGUUGAGAGCUUCACCGAGCUUCCUCUCAUGGCAGAAGUCAAAGGGGAAUAGGCAUCACAUGGCAUGAGGAAGGAAGAGAGAAAGGAGAAAGGCACAAGGCCCUUUUUAACAAUCAGAUUUUUGGGAACUAAUGGAACAAAAAUUCACUAACAUGGAGAAAAUAGCACCAAGCCAUUCAUGAUUGAUCUGGCCAGAUGAUCCCAACACCUUUCACCAACAGCCCCACCUCCAAUACUGGAGAUCAAAUUUUGACAUGAGAUUUGGAAAGGACAAAUAUCCAAAAUGUAUCAUUGGCCAUCCCUGGAGUGUAACGCAUCCUGAGGACAACAGACACAUUUUAUUUGGAACCCUGUCUUUUUCUUUGGCUGGUUUCAAUAUAUCAUUUUCCUGUAAUAAACUGUACUCAGUGUAUGACAACAUUCAGAGGGUUUUGUGAGUAUUUCUAGCAAACUAAAAGUUGGUGUUCAAAGUGCUGGAUAGAAUUGAAGUCUGGAAGACUAUGCCUUCAAACCUCACAAUUUGGCUAAUUCCAGAUGUAACUGAUGAUGUUUUGUGCCGCAUGAUCCCAUUUUAUUGGAGUGAGGACGUCUUAUACAAGGGCAGACCCUUUAUGAGAUAGCCAAGUUACUUGUAAAUAGGAAUUGGGAAACUUGAAGCAAAUGGGUAGAAAUUGAAAUUAAAAGAAAACAAGUCAAGGAAAAGUAAGGACAUAAAGAAAAUGUAUAAGGUAAGAUUAUGAGAAAGAAAUGAUGAAACUUACUGGAAGGGAAAAGAGGGAAUGCAAAUUCAAAGAGAAACAGAAAUGCCAUUGGAGAAAGACCAUGGAAAUAAGAAGACAGAAUGGAAAAACUGCCUCUUCACAUCUACCUCAAUUCCCAGUGACUUCAGCUACCGUCAUUGGGAAUCCUCAUGAUAAUUAUUCUUCUAACCCUUGCUUUUAAAGUAGCUUGGAA
rnacentral:lncRNA from 10 species